UAUUAAAUAAAAUCACUCGUAUAAUCGUGGGAAUAUGGCCCACAAGUUUCUACCAGAUUACCGUAAAUAAUCUGACUAUGAGUGGGCA
rnacentral:ncRNA from 1 species